AUUGCCAAAUGUUUACUUUAAUUAAACCUUUUUAAUGAUACACAGUACAAUGUGUCCACUACUUUGCUAAAAUUCACAACAAAAAGUAGGAUUCAUAUGUUUAAAAAUAUUUUUCAUAAUAAAUUCAUAAAUAGAUGAAGGUAAAGUAUAAAAAAUUACUGUAAUAUGCAAGCUUGCUCCCUUGUCUCCUCAUAUUCCAAAUGAUCUAAGUAUUGUGAUAAAGUUUAAAAGCAAAGUAGUUCCUGCUGAUUAGAAAUGUCCAGCCUGCAUUUCUUGAAGAAACCUUGAAAAACAGCAACAGAUUCAUCCUAGAAAAUGCAGAAUAAUUUUAAUACUGUUAUCAUCCAAACCCCUCAUCUGAUUUUGGAAUGCAGUGAAUUCAAUAUGAAUUAGAGACUUAUAUUUUCUCCCCAGCAGGUGUCUCAGCCAGACUCACUUGAUUGCUACCUGGUCUCUGGAGUUGUGGGGUUUAUACCUGUCAGGUAUCAGUGAGUGAGGCACAGCAGUGGGAAAAGCUGGUUGGCAGCACGGAGCAUACCUGACUAUCAAAAAUCUCAGCAUUUCUCCUUACAGACUUAAAAACCAGAAGUCCUUAAAAACAGUUACAAAUAACUAAAUUCACCUUCUGCUCAGUAUAUGUCUGUAUCUACCUUCUGUCUGGCAAGCAGGAGAGUGUCUGAUCUCAUCCGUUGGCUUCCCUGGCUUUGAAAUGGUGUGUGUGUGUGUAGCACCAUUCUAACCCUUUACCUGGUGAAUCUCUUACAUCACACCACCAGACUCUCUCAGCAAAGUCAUCAAUAUUAUCACUCUCUUAAGAAAAAUGUACACAGCAUUUUAUUUGGUCAAGUAGCAAACUACUUUUCACACUUAGAAUAAUCUAUUUAAAUACCAUUUAUAAAGGGAAAAAUGCUUACUGAUGCAUAGCAUUGAAGUAGGGAAUGAACAUGAAAAUGCAGAAUAAUCAGGAUGCUCUGCCUUUCACAUGAAUGUAUCUUUUUUUCCUGAUAACUAUUUCCCCUUAGUGCAAAACCAGUUCCAUCCAGGUCUUGUGCUUUUUUGCAGUGGUAACUAGGUGCUUUUGAAGACAUUGGCAGGCAUCUGUCUGCAGUUUUGAUGUCUCUGAAAUUCAGCUCUUAACUCAGCUUUUAAAAGUACCUUCAAAUUGACAAGUUUGCAUGCCGUGUUCAAAGGACAAUCUUUCAUACCCUUGUUCUCACAAUAGUUUCCAAAAUCACUCCCUCACAUCUUCAUAUGAGUCUAUAUUGUUCACAGCAUUUAUUGCGGAGGAAAUGGGUGUUGAUCAUCUCAAGUUCUGCAGCAGAGUGCAGUGUAAUAGGCUGUUACUUAGUGGUUACUGAACAGAGGCUGGCUUUUGGAACUACACAGACUGGGUUGGGCAAGUGCCUUAAAAAGACUAUUUAUAAGAAAAUACACUCUUCUAUUUAAUGUUUUCCUCUGCUUUUAUCUGGAGAAGAUAAUCUUUGUGUCUAAGGGUCUUUUUGUAUUGAUUGAACAAUUAGAAAUCUGUGCUAGCUUGCCACAAUUUUGGUCCUAUGUAAGGUACUUUAAGCCCAAACUUACAGAAACUUGGAUUCUUUUAGCUAGCUAUUAUAUCUGAAUAUAUAAUGUGUAAUUUAAGAUGUCUGAGUGAGUUUAUAGGGGAAUUAAGGUUUAAAUUCCUACAGAGUAGUCAGUGAUAAGAUAUAUGUUCUUCUGAAAGCUGAAAAUAGAUGACUGCUGUUCUUAGUAUCCCAGUCUAGGCUUCAAAAUUAAAAGCUAUAAAUGUAGGAUUUUUUUAAUGGUAUGCUCAUGACUAAAGGAGAAUAGUUCACUUGCAGGAAUCUAGCUAUAAUAGCAAAUUUUGAAUGGGGUAGGUGAGCCUUAGACAGAAGUGGCUUUAAACAGAAGCAGCUUUGUGUAUCUAUCUAAUAUAUACCUAAUACAUGCUGUAUCUUACCCUGACCUACAUUGCCUAUUUGGGCUUGACUGAUUUAAUAUCUGUAGUGAUACUACAGAUAUUAAAUAGCUUUCCCAGGAGCAGGAGGCUGACAGCUAUACACGGGCAAGAACUUGUCAAUUACAGUAUCUGGUGGAUCUUCAGUGCUUUGUGAUAGGAGUGUUAAUACUCGGUUUUCUGUUAAAUCUGAGGUUGAAAGAAAGUAGAAAUCAGUGUCAGCAGUUCAGCUGCAUAAUCAAAUUGGAAAUAAUUAAAGUCUAAAAAAAUCAAGUGCCAUGUUGGAUCUUUAAAGGUUUUCAAAUGGUUUCCUGGGGGAGACAGACAUACUUUUAACCUCAUAAUGGAGGAAUAGGUUCUAAAUGCAGCUUUAAGCCAACUUCACAGCUCUCCAAAUGUUAAACUGUGCUGCUGCCAUCCAGUUCACUGGUUUAGCAGUCCACUCUUCAUCUGUAUAGCCAGCAGUUUUCUGUUGUACCAGAAGUGGAACAGGAAAGCCCCAAAAACUACUUUGGUAGUGCAUUAUUUUACUUCUGGGAAGGAAAGUAAGUGUUGAUUAAACCCAACACAUUUAAUCAAACUAAGCAGAAAAUCUUCCCUGACUCUUUCUCAGGCUUCACUUUACUCAUUCUUGUGAAGUUAUUCAGUUCCUUUGUUUUCUGCUGGCUGCUGACUCAUAUGGAAACCCAAGACAAUCAUUGACACAAUCUGUCUUCAGUGACACCUAAAGUUACUUAUAACUACCUGUAUCAGUAUUCAAGUAAUAGAAACCCUUGUUAAAAAAGGGAAUUAAAAUGGCAACCCUUUUGU
ensembl:lncRNA